rnacentral:rRNA from 1 species
UACGAAGGGGGGCUAGCGUUGUUCGGAAUUACUGGGCGUAAAGCGCGCGCAGGCGGUCUUCCAAGUCAGUGGUGAAAGCCUGGAGCUCAACUCCAGAACUGCCAUUGAAACUGUUAGACUUGAGUACGAGAGAGGUGAGUGGAAUUCCCAGUGUAGAGGUGAAAUUCGUAGAUAUUGGGAAGAACACCAGUGGCGAAGGCGGCUCUCUGGACCGAGACUGACGCUGAGGCGCGAAAGCGUGGGGAGCAAACAGG